GACGAACGCUGGCGGCGUGCUUAACACAUGCAAGUCGAACGGAAAGGCCCUGCUUUUGUGGGGUGCUCGAGUGGCGAACGGGUGAGUAACACGUGAGUAACCUGCCCUUGACUUUGGGAUAACUCAGGAAACUGGGGCUAAUACCGGAUAGGAGCUCCUGCUGCAUGGUGGGGGUUGGAAAGUUUCGGCGGUUGGGGAUGGACUCGCGGCUUAUCAGCUUGUUGGUGGGGUAGUGGCUUACCAAGGCUUUGACGGGUAGCCGGCCUGAGAGGGUGACCGGCCACAUUGGGACUGAGAUACGGCCCAGACUCCUACGGGAGGCAGCAGUGGGGUAUAUUGCACAAUGGGCGGAAGCCUGAUGCAGCAACGCCGCGUGCGGGAUGACGGCCUUCGGGUUGUAAACCGCUUUCGCCUGUGACGAAGCGUGAGUGACGGUAAUGGGUAAAGAAGCACCGGCUAACUACGUG
rnacentral:rRNA from 1 species